AGAAGAGCCUGCUUCCUCCUCUCUCUUUCUGCCUGCCUCUCUGCCACUUGUGACAGACUUGUGUGUCUGCCACUUGUGUCUGUCAAAUAAAGAAAUAAAAUCUUGAGAAAAAAAAAGAGGACGACCUUCCCUGAUAGAGAAGGACCUUGCUUUGGUCAAGGUUAUACAAGUAGCUGUGCUCCCCAGUUAGAACCUCCAAACAAGCUCCCAAGGAGAACAUAGGGUAACCAAGCUUUAGUAUUAUUAUUUAAGAUUUUAUUU
rnacentral:snRNA from 1 species